GCAUUCGCCCGACUCAGUGUCACUUUGGUGCCGGAGUUGACCCAGGGGCGCUGUCCACAGAGCCACACUGCGGCCCUUUUUGUGGCCCUUUUUGUGUUUAUUCCGAGACAGGGUCUGGCUGAGCUGCUGAGGCUGGCCUCCACCUUGCAGUCCUCCUGCCUCAGCCUCCAGGUGCCCUGGGAUGACAGGCCUGCGCCACUGUGCCCUGAACAAAUCAUCCUUUUACCAGUCAGGUCUACUUUUGUUAAGUGGCAACUGUACCAAGUCCCAGCACUUACAAUAUUUAUUAUUAUUAUUAUUAUUAUUAUUAUUUUGCAGAAAAAAAUGGCCCAUCCAUUGGCCACCGAGUUUAGUAAUGACAGCUGGGGUUUGCACUCCACAGCCUCUAAGCUGCUGGAUCCUAGAGUCAGGGCCUGUGGUCUCCCUGGAGGCUGAGCAGCUACAGAAACCUGCAAUUUAUAUGAGCUUGUGACUGUGGCCUCGGAACCUCCUAUUAACAGAAAGGGCCAAAGAAAAGCCUGUGGUUUCUUGUCUAUGUCUCUUUUUUUUUUUUUUUUGAGAAUUUUUUUAAUAUUUAUUUUUAGUUUUCGGCGGACACAACAUCUUUGUUUGUAUGUGGUGCUGAGGAUCGAACCCCGGCCACUCGCAUGCCAGGCAAGCGUGCUACCGCUUGAGCCACAUCCGCAGCCCUAUGUCUCUUUUUUUGGGGGUGGGGGGUGCCAGGGAUUGAACUUGGGGAGCCUUUGACCCCUGAGACCCUCCCCAGCCCUAUUUUGCAUUUUAUUUACAGACAGGGUAUCUGUGAAUUGCUCAGGGCCUCACUUUGGCUGAGGUUGGUUUUGAACUGAGAUCCUCUUUCCUCAGCCUCCGGAGUCCCUGGGAUCACAGGUGUGGGCCACUGUGUCAAGCAGACUUUUCUCUCACCUCUACCGUUGGGGCAUCCAGAGCAGUGCAUGGAGAGUGCUGGCACCCAGGGUUGGUUGGACGAGUCUGUGAAUCGUUUGGACCAGAGACCGCAUUUUUUUCCCCACUGAAACACAGUAAUAGUGACCAUUUCUUCCCUCUGUGCUGCAGACAUGUGGCAACAUAGUAGAGUUCAUUGAAAGCAAGAAGAUGGCAGGAAGAGCCGUGCUGUGGGUGGGACCUCUGGGAUCUGGAAAGUCCUUGUGCUCUCAUUGACUUCUGGUUCCCAAGAGGAGGAUCCUCACGUCCAAGCCAAAUGGAAUUCACAUCUUAACUAGUCUUUGUUUAGGGACAUGGUCACAUGUGUGUUUAAAAAAGGAAUCUGAUCUCAACUCAUACUUCUAGAUUGAAAAUCAUCCUGGCCAGUGGGAGGGGAAAGUCCUCAGAGGGGUCUGGUCACUGGGAUGGUCCUUGAACUCUUUCAAGUCUCCUUUGCUUGGGAAAUGCAUCUCUUUUUCUUUUCUUUUCUUUCUUUCUUUCUUUUUUCUUUUUUUUUUUAAAGCAGUGAUUGAAUUUGGGGACACUCAACUACUGAGCCACAUUCAUUUUUUGUAUUUUAUUUAGAGCCAGGAUCUCGCUAAAGGUGCUGAGGGCAUUGCUAAGUUUUUGAGGCUGGCCUCCAACUCGUGAUCCUCCUGCCUCAGCCUACUGAGCGGUAGGAUUAUAGGUGUGCAUCACCAUGCCCAGCUGAAAAUCCGUUUCUGUUGGUCCAGGGCCUUGUAAAAAAUUGUGAUGGGUUGUGGCUGUGGCUCAGUGGUAGAGCGCUCACCUCGCACGUGCAUGACACUGGGUUUGAUCCUCAGCACCACAUAAAAAUAAGUGAAAUAAAGGUAUUGUGUCCAACUAAAACUAAAAAAUAAAUAUUAAAAAAUUAAAACAAAAAUAUUAUAUCCAUGCACAAUUAAAAAAAUAUUAAAAAAUCUUCUGUGGCACAUUGUUGGAGGGGGAAAAUGAGUCAGCCAGUAUUUUUUCGAAUGCAGACUUUGCCCACCAUUAUUUUGGCUAUGCGCGUGAUUGACAAAUAACUUGUUAUUUGAUAAGACGUCUGUUCCAUCUGGUUCUCUUUAGCGUCUGCCAACCUAAGUGAGGUUACUGAGCAUCAAUUUAUAGUUGACCACAAGGUACGGUCAGGGGGAGCUUGUGCAGACCAACCCACCACUUCCAGAUUUGGCCUCACGUAUCAUCCACUAUUCGCCGGCCUUUUAACAUAAAAUGAAGGUCAUGUAAUAAAUCCUUCCUGAUUUUUUAGUGUUAUUUAUUUAUUUAUUUGGUCCCAGGAUUGAACCCAGGGUCGCUUAACCCCUGAGUCCCAUCCCCAACCCUUUUAUAUUUUAUUUAGAGACAAGGUCUCACUGAGUUGCUCAGGGCCUUGCUAAGUGGCUGAGGCUGGCCUCCACCUUGCCAUCCUCCUGCCUCAGCCUCAUGAAUCUCAGGGAUCACAAGUGUUCGACACCAUGUUCAGCCUCUUGAAUAAAUUUUUUUAGAUGGGUUUGGAUUAUGUUUUCAAGACUGUAAAAUGAAAACCUUUCCUUUCUUGCCUCUGUAGACAGCCCUGGCCCUGCCGAUUGCUCAGGAGCUUGGGAGUAAGGUGAAUUUCUGCCCCAUGGUGGGGAGCAAAGUUUACUCCAUGGAUAUCAAGAACAAAGAAGUGCUGAUGGAGAACUUCCACAGGGCUAUUGGUGAGUUUCACGUUGGAGUGACAGAUGGCUGUUACUUCUCUGGUGCUUUGAAUCCUUUCAUCUUAAAAAUGCUUCUGUGAUGUGUUGAUUGGACUGCUUGUGUUCUUUUGGUGCUGUUGACAAGACAGGCAAGAGCAGCCAGCCAUCCCAGCAGCUUGGGAGGCUGAGGUAGGAGGAUCACAAGUUGGAGGCUAGCCUCAGCAACUAGUGAGGCCCUGAACAACUCAGCAAGACUCUGUCUCUAAAUAAAAUAUAGAAAGAGCUGGGGACAGGGCUCAGUGGUCGAGGGCCCCUGGGUUCCAUCCCUGGUACCCAAAUAAAUAAUAAAUAAAUAAAAAGACUAAGAAGUCUACUUGGGGAGCUUUUGAUUUAAUGCUGGAGGAAAGAAAAUGCAGUGGGAAGGUGCAGUGUUUGGAAGUGGGGAGAUGUCAUGGGACCCUGUUUCACCCCCCACAGCCAUCUGAUUUCCUGGUGGUUGGCACUCUGGCUUCCUGUGGUGCCUCUCUGGGGGACUGGCUCUGCCUCUUGAUCUUCCCCAGCAGGUCCCUGUAAGCACUCAACUAUGGGCUCACGCUCUCUCUCUGUCUCUCUGUCCUCUCUGUCUCUCUGUCCUCUCUGUCUCUUUCUCUCUGUCUCUCUCUCUCUCUGGACCAUGGCCACUGAGCCAUCCCCAGCCCCUGUGUUUCACUAAUGAUAAACUGAAGAGUUCUAAUUCUGAACUGUGUCCAGGAGCUAAGCUUUGUGUCAC
rnacentral:lncRNA from 1 species